CUUGCUUCGAAUGAAAGUUAGUGGCGGACGGGUGAGUAACGCGUGAGCAACCUGCCUUUCAGAGGGGGAUAACGGCUGGAAACGGUCGCUAAUACCGCAUGACGUGUUCGGAUGGCAUCAUCUGAACAUCAAAGAUUUAUCGCUGAAAGAUGGGCUUGCGUCUGAUUAGAUAGUUGGCGGGGUAACGGCCCACCAAGUCGACGAUCAGUAGCCGGACUGAGAGGUUGAACGGCCACAUUGGGACUGAGACACGGCCCAGACUCC
rnacentral:rRNA from 2 species